rnacentral:rRNA from 5 species
AAACGACUCUCGGCAACGGAUAUCUCGGCUCUUGCAUCGAUGAAGAACGUAGCGAAAUGCGAUACUUGGUGUGAAUUGCAGAAUCCCGUGAACCAUCGAGUCUUUGAACGCAAGUUGCGCCCGAGGCCAUUUAGGUUGAGGGCACGUCUGCCUGGGCGUCACAC